GAUGAACGCUGGCGGCGUGCUUAACACAUGCAAGUCGAGCGAAGCAAUCUAAGUGAAGUUUUCGGAUGGAUCUUGGAUUGACUGAGCGGGCGUAGGGCAAGGUACGCGUAGUAAGUACCUGCCUCACACAGGGGGAUAACAGUUAGAAACGACUGCUAAUACCGCAUAAGCCCACAGCUCGGCAUCGAGCAGAGGGAAAAGGAGUGAUUCGCUUUGAGAUGGCCUCGCGCCCGAAUUAGCUAGUUGGUGAGGUAACGGCCCACCAAGGCGACGAUCGGUAGCCCGGACUGAGAGGUUGAACGGCCACAUUGGGACUGAGCACGGCCCAAG
rnacentral:rRNA from 1 species